GCCAGUGUGGCAUAGUGGUUUGCGUGGUUGGACUAUGACUCUGGAGACCAGGAUUCAAAUCCCUGCUUGGCCA